GACGAACGCUGGCGGCGUGCUUAACACAUGCAAGUCGAACGGAAAGGCCUCUUUCGGGGGGUACUCGAGUGGCGAACGGGUGAGUAACACGUGAGUAACCUGCCCUUGACUUUGGGAUAACUUCAGGAAACUGGGGCUAAUACCGGAUAGGAGCUCCUGCUGCAUGGUGGGGGUUGGAAAGUUUCGGCGGCUGGGGAUGGACUCGCGGCUUAUCAGCUUGUUGGUGGGGUAGUGGCUUACCAAGGCUUUGACGGGUAGCCGGCCUGAGAGGGUGACCGGCCACAUUGGGACUGAGAUACGGCCCAGACUCCUACGGGAGGCAGCAGGGGGGAAUAUUGCACAAUGGGUGGAAGCCUGAUGCAGCAACGCCGUGUGCGGGAUGACGGCCUUCGGGUUGUAAACCGCUUUCGCUCAUGACGAAGCUUUGUGUGACGGUAGUGGGUAAAGAAGCACCGGCUAACUACGUG
rnacentral:rRNA from 1 species